UCUUUCCCCUCCCGCUCCUCCUUAUCCAAUUUGUCUUCGAGGCUGACAUGAGAGAAAACCCCAAAUGACAGCGCCUGCCCGGCACAGUUUUACCACAAAAUCCUACAGGCUGAGGAGGAUGUACCGAAAGAGCAAAUCCAGAUGGCAUGUGUUAGCAGGAGGCAAGAAGGACAAGCUAUGAGUUCAGAAACAACCUCAAACCAAUUUCAGACACCCACAGCACAACCUAUGUGCAGGAACCAGCUGCAGAGUGGGAGGCGCAUCCUCAUACAGAAGUGCUGUCUGUAGCACAGGCAUCAUUCUCCUGUGCCAAGAGACUGAGCCCAGGCACCAAACUCUGGGAAAAUCCCAUGUAAGGCACACAGGACUCGGAGCAUCACCCUGCAUCCUGAAGAAGCAGCUGUCUCCAGCCUGGGAGGCCUGGGCCCACCAUCCAUGCCCAAGGAGGACAUGUAUUUGUGCAGGAGGUGCCACCUAGCAGCUGGCUGCUCCUCACUCUGUACAGCUGCACCAGAGGAGCUGAUGCAGGUCCCAGGAUGCGGGGGAACUCUGGGAAGCAGAGCCACAUAGCAAGGCAGAGUCUUUGUCACCUCUUUCCAGGCCCCCUAGGUUUUACUUGCUAAUUACAAAUUAUCACUCCCAUGCAUGUAUUACCUGUUUACCUGCACACCCCCAUUUUCCCAGGCAUUGCUCCCAUUCUUCCCCACCACGGCCUACCUUUCCUCUCCCCAUGCCCUAAAAGGGCAGGUGCCUCUGAGCCCACCCUGCAGCACAGUGGUGCUGGGAUACAUGGGGAAGUGUUCCCUGGCAGAGUGGAACACAAAGCAGCAGCACCUGCAGUGAGUGCAUCCCGUGUGCGUCAGAAGGCAGAGGCUGCUGAGAGAUGUGCCUUUCACCUGUCGUCAGUGCAGCUUCUUCUCUUCAAGGUCCUAUUGUGCCCCUUGCAGAACAUUGGGAAGCUUUGCCAGACUAAUCCUGCCCGGUAUCCACCCCAUCUGGACUGGGGAAAACAAUACAAGCCCUUAAUUUCCUAAUCCUGGGAGCUUCCAGGCUUUGCUUUGAUAGCAGCUCUGCCUCAGCCCAUCUGCAAGGCAGGGCUGGAACCUCUGUCUUCAUGUCCUGACAGUUCCAGGAGGCAUCUCUCACCGCUGUGUGCCUGUGGACAGGCUGGCACAGCCAGCUGGAGGGAGCCCAUCUCCUUCCCCUACCCCAGCAAAACAAGGAGCUGCCCUUUACAUCCCUGCAGCUCCAAAGGCUGUGACUUAGAGGCUUAUAAGUGUUGCUCAGACUCCAACAGGAGCUGGUUGAUGAUCAGUAUUCUCCCUCCUGCCCAGUGACCUGCACAGCCCCCGAGGACAUGUGGAGCAGGGACCAAACCGCCUGCAUGGCCCAGCAUCAUCCCACAGUGCAGGUGGGGGCUCGCAGGGUUGGGAUCUGCAAGGGCCUGGCUGCUGGGGAGCGGCAGGAUGGAACACAAACAGGAAAGCUGGCAGGGACCCAGCCCUUCCCAGCUGGGACAGGAAAGAGACGCUCCGUCCCUGCUCAGGGCACGAACAGCAGGGGUGUAUGAGCACCGAGCAUAACCCACCGCAGGCUGUCCAUCCCGAGAGGCUCCUCUGGGACCACCCCAAUCCCUUCGUGCUCCACCUGAAGCUCCCAGAACCUCUUUGUCACCUACCAGCCCCGGGGUCCCGGCGGGUACCCAGCACGAGCGCAGCCCACGGGACGCGGGUGGGGCUGACCUCAGAGCCCCAGAGCCGCCUCCUCUCCUGGGCUCUGCGAGCAUCCCGGCCCGGAUGCAGCUCCGCUCAUGGAGGCGGCUCGUAGCAGGACUGCUGUGCCGCGGGAGGGCACCAUCGGCCAAGCUUCGCCCGUUGAAGUUCAGCGAUGGCACCAGUUUCUCCUGCAGUGGCAGAAAACAGAUUGGCCAAGGUGCAUCCCAGCAAGCACCACCUGGAUGCCUGGUUUGAGUGCUAGAGAGAUGGGAGAGAGAACUACCUGUGUUCCUCAUCCCCUCCGCACAGCAUCAUCCCCAGGCGCAGUGAUCACCUUCCCCCCUGCCAGGGGCACCGUCUCCCAGCUGUCAGCACCCGGCCUCCCCGCAGGUGUGAGGACAGGACGGCCCUUUGUGUGCCAGCCUCACGGCCACUCGUUCCACAGGGCAGGUUUUCAGCCGAGCUGGCACAGCUCCCCAACUUUUCAGCACCUCCCAUCUCACUGCCACAAAGGGCAGCCCUGUCCCUGAGAGCCCAGAGCAUCUCCCCUGUAAAGGAUGGGGAGAAAUGGGGAGUGGGUCACCUCUCUGGAGAGCAUUAAUGGGUCACGUAGCCAAGAAAGGAGGGGUUUGGGAACGCAGAGCUUGGUCACCCUCUGCAGAGAUCUGCCAUAUCCUUCUCUUUGCAGCUCUUCCUACAAUAGCAAAUAAAAAGUAAAAAGAAUCUGCUCACAGCCC